CAGUCGCCGCGGGAAUACGAAGGGGGCUAGCGUUGUUCGGAAUUACUGGGCGUAAAGCGCACGUAGGCGGAUACUUAAGUCAGGGGUGAAAUCCCGGGGCUCAACCCCGGAACUGCCUUUGAUACUGGGUAUCUCGAGUCCGGAAGAGGUGAGUGGAAUUCCGAGUGUAGAGGUGAAAUUCGUAGAUAUUCGGAGGAACACCAGUGGCGAAGGCGGCUCACUGGUCCGGUACUGACGCUGAGGUGCGAAAGCGUGGGGAGCAAACAGGAUUAGAUACCCGCGUAGUCCCUGUCUCUUAUAC
rnacentral:rRNA from 1 species